CAUCGGUCGGGCCCCCUUCCGAUUCUUCCUGAUCCGGUCCACCUCGGUCUUUUCCAUGGUUCUCCGGCAGCGGGCACAGACCGUCUCCCGGUUGGCGAUGCGGGGCGAGCGUCCUUCCAGGAGCGCCAGGAGGGCAUCGAAGACAAAGGCCGGGUGGGGGGCACAGCCGGGGAGGUAGAGGUCCACGUCGAUCACGCUGUCCAGCGGCGACACGGACGGUUCCAGGGCCGACACUUCCCUCGUGGGCGGAGUGGUGGUCGCCGUGGUCUUGUUGCCGGUGUAGACCGUGUCCAUGAUCUCCUGGCAGGAGUGGACGUUGCCGGCCCCGGCGAUCCCGCCGUACACGGCGCAGGAGCCCCAGGCAAUGAUCAGGUCGCAGCUCUUGCGCAUCUCCAUGGCCGCGUGGCGGUCGUGCUCGGUCCGGAUGGCGCCGGAGACCAGCCCCACUUUCGCCUUGGGGUAAUCCUUCACGUCGGUCAGAACCGGGCAGCGCUGGAUGGUGACCGAGUCCAGGACCGACAGGAUCUUUUCGUGCAGGUCCACGAUGGCGAUAUGGCAGCCGGAGCAGUCACUGAGCCAUUCCAGGUUGAUCGGGACGGUGCUCACGGUUUCUCCUCCCUUUUCUUGUGGAUCACCAGCCGCUUCAGGCAGGCGUUCUCGCCGGCGUGCAUGAUCUCCAGGGUCGAAUCGACCCCCAUCACGUUCAGGAGCGCGCCGGAGAAGAACCCGAACAUCAUGGUGCAGAGGGAGCCCUUCUGGUGGUACCCGAAUCGGACAGGACUGGCGGAUCAUGCAGUCCGGAGACCAGGUGGAUAUCCUC
rnacentral:rRNA from 1 species